rnacentral:rRNA from 1 species
UACGUAGGGUGCAAGCGUUGUCCGGAAUUAUUGGGCGUAAAGAGCUCGUAGGCGGCCUGUCACGUCGACUGUGAAAACCCAGGGCUCAACCCUGGGCCUGCAGUCGAUACGGGCAGGCUAGAGUGUGGUAGGGGAGACUGGAAUUCCUGGUGUAGCGGUGAAAUGCGCAGAUAUCAGGAGGAACACCAAUGGCGAAGGCAGAUCUCUGGGCCGUAACUGACGCUGAGGAGCGAAAGCAUGGGGAGCGAACAGG